UGCAGAGAUAAUGCUUUCCUAUGUGAUUAUGAUGGAAAUCAGGUCACAGCACUUAUCACUAGAUGGUGUGGGGACCACAGAAGGGAAGAUCCUGGAGCCCAGGAUAUGGUUCUGGCAGGAAGACAGAUUACCAAAGGUGAGCAUCUGUCUUCAGAGGAGGAGAGACAUUCCAGGAUAAAAACUGGGAGGACCACUUUGUCUCCAGGUUUACCUUCCUUCCCCUCCUUCCCCACCCCAAGAUGUCAGCAUGAAAAUACCGUACCAUAGAACUCUACCAGUUGGAAUGGUCUCUUCUUGUCAAAAUUCAGAAGAUGUAACAGGAUAUACUCAUCAUAGACCGUUUCAACUAUGC